rnacentral:rRNA from 1 species
AUGCUGAUCUUUACCGCCGCGGGCUGGCAUGUUCCAGUGCUCCACCGGCCGACAGCCAAGCCAUGGCAACGGCUUUCCAUGCACCUACUCUCUCAGCGUGGUCGAUCUGGGCUCGUCCUAAGUAGCAAAUCCCCAGCAUAUCCAGAAGCAGAAGAGGGUGAAUGGGAAGUUGAUGAAUACAGAAGACACCCGGAUCUAACAAGCAAGAAGCAACAGAUGAUCAACGCCAUAAGGACGGCACUUCGGUCAUUGGGGGAUGAUGAGACGUCGACAACUGUUUCAGCUUACGACACGGCAUUGGUUGCACUUGUCAGGAACCUUGACGGAGAAGAUAAACCGCAAUUCCCCUCGUGCAUCGACUGGAUUGUACAAAAUCAACUACCAGAUGGUUCGUGGGGUGAACCUACUUUCUUUAUGGUCCAAGAACGGAUGAUCACCACCCUGGCAUGUGUAGUGGCUCUGAAGUCUUGGAACGUUGACAGCGACAACUUGUGUGAGAGAGGUGUGUUAUUUAUCCAAGAAAAUAUGAGCAGGUUGGUAGAAGACGAACAGGACUGGAUGCCAUGUGGCUUCGAGAUUAAAUUCCCAGCAAUCCUACAGAAGGCCAAGGACCUGAAUUUGGACAUCCCUUAUAAUCACCAUGUUCUUGAACAGAUAUAUACCAAGAGAAAUCUAAAGCUCUCUAAGAUACCUCUGGAUGUGCUACACGCCAUACCAACGACCCUACUUUACAGCUUGGAAGGAUUGUUAGGCUUGCAAUUGGACUGGGAAAAGCUACUCAAGUUGCGGUGUCUCGACGGCUCCUUCCAUUCCUCACCUGCUGCAACAGCUGCUGCGCUCAGCUACACCGGCGACAAAGAAUGUCUUGCGUUCCUGGACAGGCUCGUCAAAAAGUUCGACGGGGGAGUGCCCUGUAUGUACUCCUUGGAUAUUUUUGAGCAGUUAUGGGUGGUCGAUCGGCUGACGCGCCUAGGGAUAUCAAGGCACUUCACGAGUGAAAUUGAGCAGUGCCUAGAUUAUAUUUACAGGCGUUGGACUCAAAUGGGACUGGCUCAUAACGCACACUGCCCAAUCCCAGAUAUUGAUGACACGGCCAUGGGUUUCCGUCUCCUGCGUCAACAUGGCUACGCCGUCACUCCAUGCGUGUUUAAGCACUUUGAGGACAAGAAUGACGGCAAGUUCUUCUGCUUCCCAUUGGAGACCAACGACGCAUCUGUUAACCCAAUGUACAACACUUACCGUGCUUCUCAGUUCAUGUUCCCAGGAGAUGACGAUGUCCUGGCACGGGCCGGGCGCUAUUGCCGUGCAUUCCUCCAAGAAAGACAGGCCUCCAACAAACUGUAUGACAAGUGGAUCAUCACCAAGGACCUGCCGGGCGAGGUCGAGUACGUACUGAACUUCCCCUGGAAAGCAAGUUUGCCACGAAUCGAAUCAAGGAUGUAUCUGGAUCAGUAUGGAGGCAACACAGAUGUUUGGAUUGCCAACGUCCUCUACAGAAUGAAUCUUGUGAGCAACGAUCUGUACCUUAAAAUGGCAAAAGCUGAUUUUAGAGAAUAUCAGAGACUCUUCCGACUUGAGUGGAAUGGCCUCAGAAAGUGGUACUUCAGGAACCAUCUGCAGAGGUAUGGUGGGACACCAAAGAGCGUGCUGACGGCUUACUUCUUAGCUUCAGCAAACAUCUUCGAAUCUCGCCGAGCAGCAGAGCGUCUAGCAUGGGCUCGCACGUGGGUGCUUACUGAGGCGGUGACCACUCACUUCAGACAUACUGGGGGGACAAAGGACUCAACAAAGAAUCUUGAAGAGCUUAUCGACCUUGUUUCAUUCGACAAUGACUCUUCCAGCAGUCUUCGUGAUGCUUGGAAGCAGUGGCUCAUGGCAUGGACUGCAAAGGAGAGCCAUGGAUCAAUUGAAGGAGAUACAGCUCUGUUGUUGGUUCGAACAGUCGAGAUAUGCUCAGGAAGGCAUGUUUCAGCCGAGCCAAAGCUGAACCUUUGGGAGUAUUCCCAGCUCGAACAGCUCACCUCUUCCAUCUGCCGCAAGCUUGCCACAAGAGUUGUUGCUCAGAAUGGGGAAAUUAUGGAGAACACAGACGACUUGGACCGGCAAGUGGACAUGGAGAUGCAAGAACUAUCUUGGAGAAUUCAUCAGGGUUGCCAUGGCAUCAACAGAGACACCAGGCAGACAUUUCUCCACGUGGUGAAAAGCUUCUACUACUCGGCUCAUUGCUCACCUGAAACAGUUGAUGGCCACAUCGCAAAGGUCGUCUUCCAGGAUGUUAUUUAG